GGCCGCCUGGCGAAAUGGUAUCGCGUCUGACUACGACUCGUACAAAUCAGGAGAUUGCAGGUUCGAGCCCUGCGGUGGUCA
rnacentral:tRNA from 1 species